rnacentral:rRNA from 1 species
GAUGAACGCUGGCGGCGUGCCUAAUACAUGCAAGUCGAGCGAAUGGAUUAAGAGCUUGCUCUUAUGAAGUUAGCGGCGGACGGGUAAGUAACACGUGGGUAACCUGCCCAUAAGACUGGGAUAACUCCGGGAAACCGGGGCUAAUACCGGAUGACAUUUUGAACCGCAUGGUUCGAAAUUGAAAGGCGGCUUCGGCUGUCACUUAUGGAUGGACCCGCGUCGCAUUAGCUAGUUGGUGAGGUAACGGCUCACCAAGGCAACGAUGCGUAGCCGACCUGAGAGGGUGAUCGGCCACACUGGGACUGAGACACGGCCCAGACUCCUACGGGAGGCAGCAGUAGGGAAUCUUCCGCAAUGGACGAAAGUCUGACGGAGCAACGCCGCGUGAGUGAUGAAGGCUUUCGGGUCGUAAAACUCUGUUGUUAGGGAAGAACAAGUGCUAGUUGAAUAAGCUGGCACCUUGACGGUACCUAACCAGAAAGCCACGGCUAACUACGUGCCAGCAGCCGCCGCAA